UACAGAGGUCUCAAGCGUUGUUCGGAUUCAUUGGGCGUAAAGGGUGCGUAGGUGGCGCCGUAAGUCGGGUGUGAAAUUUCGGAGCUUAACUCCGAAACUGCAUUCGAUACUGCGGUGCUUGAGGACUGGAGAGGAGACUGGAAUUCAUGGUGUAGCAGUGAAAUGCGUAGAGAUCAUGAGGAAGACCAGUGGCGAAGGCGGGUCUCUGGGCAACAACUGACGCUGGAGGAGCGAAAGCGUGGGGAGCGAACAGG
rnacentral:rRNA from 1 species